UUAGCGCCUUUAAUCAACUCUCUUUCUCUGCCUGAACAAAGCCCGUGGGCCAUGGCCAGCGGAACGCCUAAAUCUCCGGCGGUUCUUUUCAUCUUACUAAUUACCAUACUACCCUCCUCCACCUCUCUCCCCAUCCCCAUCCCCAACCCCAUCACCUUCCACUCCCUCUUCUCCCUCUCCCACUCCCUCCUCACGCGCGUCGCCACUCUACGCGCCGCCCGCGGUGACAUUUCCGGAUCAAUCCGAGCCAGAACUCUAGCCCACAAUAUUAAAAAACACAGCCGUGGGUUUAGUUUCUAUGGGGUCGUGUGGUCUGUUGGCUCGGACUACUUGAAAAAUUAUGCAUGGAGAGAUGUUAAAACGGCGUCGUUUGAGAUGGUGGGUGCGGUUUCUGAUAUGAACGAGUUGGUGAAAGGGUUGGGUGAGUUGGUGAGUUUGGAAUCGAAGGUGGAUCGGGUUGAGUGGGUCCGGAGGAAUUAUGAGACUUUGCUUAAGGUUUCGAAGUCGCUGGUUAAUCGUUUGCUGAGAGUGUUCAGUCAACCGGGCCCCUUGAAGGAUGCGGUUGAGAUGGUACGCACAGAAAUCGUGGAUGGCGGGUUGUUGCAGGACUGCCUUGAGUUGGGUAGUAAUGAUUUAAAGGGUGUGAUUCAGACACUAAAGGAUCUUACUUCACAGUAUACCACUAGCAACAGCAGCAAGACAGAAGAGUUAUGAGUUGGUAUCCUGACUUUGAUGUACCUUCCAUCAAAUGGUGCUUUCUCUUUAAUAAUAUCUGGGACAAUCACUGCUGAAAAACAAUCUGGUAGAUUGGCACUGUAGGAGUAUAGGUUCAAAUGAGAAUCAUUAUGAACCAAAUUCUUGGUUCUUGGAUUUAUCUGAAUGGAUGACUUAGAUCUCCCUUCUUAUGUUUGUACUAGUUACAUGUGUUU